CUGCUCCUAGAACAGAAAGGGGCCCGCGAAGUAGGUCAGGGAUCUGUGCUGUGGGGGCCCAUGGUCGCCCACGUUUGCUUCCCAGGCUCUGAAACCACCCUGGACUAGCUCCCAGCUUUGCUUAAACAGUGCUACUCUUCUGGUGAGCAUGCAGGUGAGGGAGGUCCUGUUCGGCUGGAUGGUCUGCUCAGUUCUUUGCUGGCUUCCCCAGGCUUUGGACAGCUCAAGGUAGUAGAACUUAGAAACAGUAAACCCCCCCAGUGUUGAAAAAGCUGACCCUUAGAAUGAGGUGAAAAGCACUUUGCAAGAAUGGUGACCUCAGUAGAGCAAGCUGCUAUGUGAAUGCCCUCAGCUUCAGAGAGAAAACCUUUCCUAGGCUUUGAAACAGGGAGAGCCAGGAGAGUAUGCUAGGCUCACUUGAGGAGUGACGCUCUGAAAACUGCUUGUCACCGCCCGACGGGCCUCAGUACCCCCUCUCUUCUUGUCACCUGCAUGGCUGUGGUUCCACUUGAUACCAACUAUAUUAAAAAUGCACAAUUUAAUCAGAACAAGGGCUGACCAUUUUGAAGGACCUUUAUUUCCUUGAUGCUCCCGGUCUUUGUCUCCACCGUCUAUCGUCUCUCAUCGAAUGGCUGAGCUCUGUGUGCGUCACGAAGGGAAUUCAGUUCUCAGCACCCACACAGCAGCUUACAACUGCCUGUAACUCCAGCUCCAGAGGACCCAACAUUCUCUUCUGGCCUCCGAGGGCAUCUGCACCCCCCCCCCCCGCCCCCAUGCAUAUCCAAGAAUAA